AACCUCAUCCCAUGGAGAUGCUCUAAAAACACUUAAAAAAAAAAAACCACCAAUUCCAAAUGCAGUACUCAAAGAAUAUAGUGCGAACGCAUCUUUCGCCAACAACUAGAAAUAUGUGGAAGGUCAGGAUGUUAGUCGUUCCUCCUAAACUGGUAGGUUUUAAGAAGCGAGGACGAAGAGGUUCGUUACUGUUGCACUGUGGGUGAAACAAUAUAGCCAUGAAAGAUUCAACAAAUGGAGAAUUCCGGGACUUCAAGAAAAUGAAAAUAUGGGUUAAGAAGAACUCUGGCUACAAAUGCAUGAUGUUAUACGCAAGGUCCUUAGCAAUCACUUGGGGUGGUCCUCCGUACUGGGUUUGGAAUUGUUAUAAAGAGACAGGGGAUGACAACAUUGAGGUAGCCAAACUAACGGGUGUACGCGAUCUAGAUGUCCAAGGACGGUUCAAGAUGUCGGAGCUCUCACCAGGAGUUGUUUAUGAGAUUGCCUACAUUGUUAAAUAACAAACGGAGCAUCUGGAUGGGAACUCCCUGUUACACUCAAAAUCACUCUCCCGGGGCAGGGCGGAAGAGAAAAGAAGCGCCAAUACAGUCUACUCGAGAAGCCGAGAGGAGUGUGGAUGGAGCUUGUUGGUGGCAGUUUUCAGUCAAUGGCAAGAGAAACUGGAGAAGUGAUCUUUGAUUUUUAUAAUCAUGACACGCCCUCGAAAAGUGGGCUUAUCAUCAAAGGUAUCAUUAUCAGGCCAAAAAAUUGAACAGGUCGUGCAAAGUAUAGGAUUCUAAUGCUAAUUAUAAAGACUGAUUUCCUAUAGCCUGUACAUUGAUGAUCUAUAUAGCAAUAAAGAAUCAUUUCCUUUUCCUUUCA